AUGCACAGAUAAGGUUAUCCUCAACCUGGACAGGGUUAUGCCCAACCUGGACAAGCCUAUCCACAAGGUCAAGGAAUUCCACCACCUACUGCUCCAGCGCCAUGGCAACCUGGGUCAGGAGGGCCGCCUGCCCAAGGAGCCAACAAUCCAGCCGACUGUGUGGAUGAAGAUUCGAGUAGACCCGCGCC